rnacentral:rRNA from 1 species
AUGAAUUGCAUAACGUGGAACUGUCGCGGGCUUGGGAACCCGGAGACAGUUCGUGAACUCCACCAUCUGGUGAGGGUUGAAGCGCCCACCUUAGUCUUCUUAUCGGAGAUGAAGGUUGAAGGAAAUAAGGUAGCAGGGAUGAAAGCAAGACUUGGGUUUGAAGGUUGUAUCACUGUCAGCAGCAACGGGCUGAGCGGAGGACUUGCCCUUUUCUGGUCUCGAGAGGUGGAUGUGAAGCUC